rnacentral:lncRNA from 1 species
CCUUUGGGACUUUCCCUCCCUCUCUGCAUCUGCAGGCUCUGAAAUGCCUGUGAGCUGGCUGUGUACAGACACCUGGAGGUGACCCCUCCUGUAACGUGGCCGUGGUCUACCUGGCCCACCCAUCGCCAUGCCUGGGGCUCACGCGGCCCCUCGGCCCUCUCACGCACCCACCCUUAGCACUCUGUGACUUGGCUGCGAGCUGGGAUGUGCAGCGUUUGUCAACACCGUUUUGUGGACGAAUUCACUAGACUCUCAAAGGCUCUUCAGAAAGCGCUAUUCAGAAAGGCUGCCCAGCCCCUCGUGAAAGCACCCUUAGAUUACAGCCGAAGUGAGCGCUUCUCCUGGAACUCACUUUCAACAUUUUAUUUUACUGCUCAGGGCCUUUUGGAGUUUUGAUUUUGAUAUUCUCGUCUCGGCUGACCUUUCCUGUCCUCGCUGUGCCACGCACAGCAACAUUGAUUUGGGGUAAUGUAUUUUGACUUUAAGACGCAGGCCAUCCAUAAACUUUUCUAUCAAUAAUCCCAGCUCACUCUGUGUACCUGACAGCUUAAAGGAAAACAUCAGAUUUAUGGGGCCUUUUAUUUUUGGCCAAUUUCGUCAUUCACUUGCCCUCAGUGCCAGGGGAUAAGGGCCUGAAGUCCAGCCCAGGAGGACCCCCGUUCAAGGGCACACGUCAGAGACAGGAUUGAUGGAGAGAUGCCACGAGAGGGACAAGGCCCAGGGUUUGAGCAGAGGAAGAGUGUGAGAAGGAUCACUCGGUCGUCUUGUGGAGCCUGUCUCACCUCAAGCAUUUAUGCGGCCAACAUGUCGUCAGAACUCGAUCACACGUUUAUCCGGUUUGCAUGUCUGUGGGCACCAAGUUUACCAUGUGCUGGGUGCUGGGGAACCGCAGUGUCCAGCCCACGGGGAAUCUGCAUUCCAGCCCAAGAUGGGACAGAGACUCGCCUGCAAGGAGGAGACAGAGACACGGCCCCAUCAUGAGCCACUGAUGCAAACCCGCGGCCUGGAGCCGCACAUGGACAUGCGUGGGGGCCUGCAGGUCACAGGAGGGGCCGCAGUGCUCAGCCAGGUGAAGGCCCUGGAGAGGGCGUGUGCUUCAGGGAGAAGGUGCGGCAGACUGGCGCUGACAAACAGCAGCUCACGGCGCGCUGGAAGACGCCAGGGUUUCAGACGCCCAAAGGUGCUGGGCCAGCACUGGCAGGAAUAGCACAAGGGCAGGAUCCGUGGGCUCCAGACACUGCCUCCGACGAGCAUCAUCAGAGCAGGAUCCUGCCUCGUGGCCUGGGCUCUCCAUGGCUCGAUGGAAAAUUAAGUCAGAGGCAAAACAGAAGAAAACAAAGCCGGGCAAGGUGGUGUCCAGGUCUGUGCAGCCAGAUGGGCUUGGAUUCAGGUCCUAGUCUCACCUUGGCCUCUUGGAGCCUCAGUUCCCCAUCUGUAAACAGGAUGUGCUCGCUGUGCCAACAGCAGAGGGUGCCUGGGAGGCCUGGCUUGGAGAUGAAGUGUUUACAGCAGACUGCUCAGUACCUGGGCUGGAGUCCUAGCAGCAGGUGCGUGUUUUAAUGCACGAGCUCAUGGCUUGGUGUCAUCAGGAUGAAGGAUGCCUGGGUGCGUGGGAGGGGUGAUUUAUUGGGGGGAGGUGACCGGUGGAGCUGAGUGUCCCUAAUGGAUUUUAUUACAGCCUGUGUACGUUAUUUAUUUAAUCAUUUGCCGAAGUAAAUCUUACAGGCCCAUAGAGAGUUUAUUUUUUUGUUUUUAAUGAUGUUAAUACACUGGGGGUUUUAUUUCCCACUAGAUCUAUUAGUUUAAUUUAGUCGAGGACAGACUGUAUACUUACCCAAAGAUUGCUUUGACAUUAUGGAGAAUUAAGAGGCUGGGCCAGGCGGACGCGAGCAGAUCGAUCUGUUUGAGAUAAAACUCCAUUUCCCACGUGCCUUCUGGCCUGUGAUGGUGAGGGCGUGACUGGGAAACACGGAGCCAGCUGCUGACCCCGGGGCUGGCCGGAGCGUCAGGCGCCGGCUCCCAUGCUGUCUCCACUCCAGUGGCGAGACGUUGUUUGAUGGUUCCAGGGGAGAUGCUUUCGGGGGCCAGGGGCAUCUGUGGUGGUCUCCCGGUGUCCAUGACCCACCAGCCUUCUGAAGAGUCAGCUGCAUGUGGUCAGGGGACCAAGGCCAGCACAGUGCUCCCAGGGCUGUUGCGGGGUCAAGUGGGCUGAUGUCCAGGAGGUGGCUUUGUGAAUUGUCAUGGGGUGGACUCACGUCAAUGCUUAUGGUCCUGUGUCCCCUACAUUUCUGGGUGGCAAGAGCUGCUCAGGAGAUGCCAGUGGGGCUGACAGAAGGCUCCAUUUCCAGGACCCUGGGGUCUUGGCAUCCUUUCACAUCUUUCUAGGCCACCACCUGGAAGUUUCUGGAGGCACUGUAGCUCACAACGGGCUCCCAGGCACGUGGCAGCUUUCCCUCCAUGCCCACGGGGUGCUGGACUUGGAUCUGCUUCUCAUGCUUGGCUUUGAAGGGGGAGGGGGAGAGCAGGGGCUCUCCAUCCACUGUCACUGUCCUGGGCUGAAGUGGCCCCUGCAGAUGUGCAGAAGGCUCAGCUCUGGUGCACCUAGGAGCCCCAAGGCUGGGCUCAGGAGGCUGCAGAUGUGGGGGAAGCUCACCUCUGGUGCACCUGGGAGCCCCAAGGCUGGGCUCAGGAGGCUGCAGAUGUGUGGGAGGCUCACCUCUGGUGCACCUGGGAGCCCCAAGGCUGGCCUCAGGAGGCUGCAGACGUGUGGGAGGCUCACCUCUGGUGCACCUGGGAGCCCCAAGGCUGGGCUCAGGAGGCUGCCUGGAGUCCCCUUUCAUCCGCUCGUGAUCCUGACCUGCCAGCCCUGCUCCAGCCCUGGGGUUUGCGCACCUGCUUGUUCACCUCACUCUUUGGACUGAUUCCAGCCAGCUGGACUCUUCCUCCAGGAAGCGUUCCUUAUAGUCUCUUCCUCCCUCCGCAUUUGGCUGUCGUGGUGUUUUGUUCCCAUCCCCAGAGCGGCCUCAUGCCUGGGUUAGGCUCUCCUUUCAGGAAGCCCUUCCUUCUUUCCUCUCACAGGCUGGCUCCCGGGAGGUGCUGGUGGCCAGCGGGCUCUGUGCUGAGAAGUGCUGGGAGGCUCGGAGGAAAGCGUGCUGUCGUGGAUCUGUGACGCGGCCUCUGGCACGGCGGCGGAGAGGGAAGAGGCAGGAUUCGCCCCCUCUGGAGUGGCCUCUGGGCUCUCUGAGCUCUGACAGAGCUGCUUCCUCUUGCCUUCCCCUUGAGGCCAGCAUGCGUCAGUCUGUGUCUGCGAUGCCAGUGUCCGGGAGUGGAUGGGGAGGCUCUCUGGCUCCCCCUCACUGCACACAUAUAGGGGCAGGGACUGGUGCCUGUGGAGGGGGCCUGGGGCCUGGCAGCACCUUAUUUCAGCCUGCCUCCCUGCUCUGCCCAGGUGGGGUACCUGUAGAAAGAGGACGCUGGCCUGUACCUGCCUGGACACCUUGCCCGGCCUGUGGCAGGUGAUCAGUGGUGCUGGGUGGCAGGAAGCCAAGGCAAUUGCUGGGCUCCUGGUGAGUUUCAGGCCAGGCCGUUUUCAGAGAACCUCUGUCUUUGCUGGUUUUGUCAUGGGUGGGGCCCCUCUCUGUGGGGCUGCGGUAGGUACAGCAUCCACGAGGAGGGGACAGGCACAAGCUCCGGGUGUCACAUCAUCUCUGACUUUGGAGCCAUAGAGCGUCUGGUCUGGGAGCCCCUGGAGGUCAUCUUGUCUUCCUUGCUGGGGUGUCCCUGGGCAGACACACAGACAGGGUCCAAAAGGGAUGGGGUCCAUCACGCUGGGGCUCCUGCCCUGGCCUGAGCAUGCCUGGCCAUCCAGGCCCCUGCCCCUUGGUGCUGCAGGGCCUGGGAGAGGCUCCUGGGCACUGUGGUGACCUUCACGCCCGACUUGCCCCUCGAGUUCCUCCUGCCGGUAGCCUGGCAGCUGCCAGUGCCGCACGGUUUGUGAAAUGUCAGUGCUUUAAUAUCAAUUCUGGAGGUUUUAUUGCCUUCCCCCCAUUUUCCGAUGGGAUUUUGAUCCAAUCAAGACCGAUCCACAGCGACGGCAGAUUUGUGUUCCCGUCCGAAGUUGACAAAGGUCACCCUGCCUGGGGAGCGGGGCCGCUGUGGCUGCGCAGCGCGUGACUGCUCUCCCGCCCUGGCUCCGGGUCGGCUGCGCUUUCCCCCAGGAGAGCGGUGUCCGUGGGUGCGGCCGGCGCUGCUCCUCCUGGGCCUGUCACUGGGCCAAGGGCCCUAGGGCUUUAGGCUCGGGCAGUCGCCAGCCACAGAAUACCGUGGUUUUGUCUGCAAAAUGUCUUUGAUGCUUCAGACUCAAAUUAAUUUUUCAUAGUAAUGUUUCAAAAUGUCAUUUUUCCCUUUAAAAAAAAAGCCGUUGAAUGAGAUUCUCUGUUUGGGAGGAGGCCAGAGGUCAGGAGAGUCACAUUGGGCCACGCCAGCCUGUGCCCUCUCCUCCUCUCUCUGGCUGAGCUCCCUGCCUUCCCCAGAGGGUGGAACACCCUCUAGGAGGAACUCGAAAGGGGCAGGAACACCUGCUUGUCCAGGUGGGGGCUGUCAAGGGUGGAGAGUGGGUGCAAGAAUUUUGGUCAAGUUUUGAUCUUGCCCCAUGGCACUUUACAGACAUGAUAUUCCGAGACCCAACCCAGCUUGGCAAGCCUUUAGAGAGUGCCUGCGGUGUGUGUGGCGCCGAGAGGGCUCAGCAGGGUGGAGGGGAGAGGCAAACCUAGACAGAGAGG